rnacentral:rRNA from 1 species
UGGGGAAUAUUGCACAAUGGGGGAAAGCCUGAUGCAGCAACGCCGCGUGAGUGAAGAAGGUCUUCGGAUUGUAAAGCUCUGUCUUUGGGACGAUAAUGACGGUACCAGAAGAGGAAGCCACGGCUAACUACGUGCCAGCAGCCGCGGUAAUACGUAGGUGGCAAGCGUUGUCCGGAUUUACUGGGCGUAAAGGGUGCGCAGGCGGACAUUUAAGUGAGAUGUGAAAGACCCGGGCUUAACUUGGGGGGUGCAUUUCAAACUGGAUAUCUGGAGUGCAGGAGAGGAAAGUGGAAUUCCUAGUGUAGCGGUGAAAUGCGUAGAGAUUAGGAAGAACACCAGUGGCGAAGGCGGUUCUCUGGACUGUAACUGACGCUGAGGCACGAAAGCGUGGGGAGCAAACAGGAUUAGAUACCCUGGUAGUCCACGCCGUAAACGAUGAGUACUAGGUGUAGGAGGUAUC